GAUGAAGAACGUAGCGAAAUGCGAUACUUGGUGUGAAUUGCAGAAUCCCGUGAACCAUCGAGUCUUUGAACGCAAGUUGCGCCCGAAGCCAUUAGGCCGAGGGCACGCCUGCCUGGGCGUCACACGUCGUUGCCCCCCCAUCUACUCCUUCGGGAUUGCGGGGGGCGGAUGAUGGCCUCCCGUGCGCCUCGUCGCGCGGUUGGCAUAAAUGCCAAGUCCUCGGCGACGCACGCCACGACAAUCGGUGGUUGCGAAACCUCGGUUGCCCGUCGUGUGCGGUCGUCGCGCAUCGAGGGCUCGAAAAAAUUGCCGGGCUCCGGCUCGGCUUUCAACGCGACCCCAGGUCAGGCGGGGUUACCCGCUGAAUUUAAGCAUAUCAAUAAACGGAGGA
rnacentral:misc_RNA from 1 species